rnacentral:rRNA from 1 species
ACGGCUCAGUAACACGUGGCUAAUCUGCCCUUGGGACGAGAACAACCCCGGGAAACUGGGGCUAACCCUCGAUCGGUGAAGAACUCUGGAAUGAGUCUUCACUUAAACAGAUUCACGUUAUGCUCGUGAAUCCGCCCAAGGAUGAGGCCGCGACCGAUCAGGUUGUUGGUGAGGUAAUGGCUCACCAAGCCUUUUACCGGUGCGGGCCGUGAGAGCGGGAGCCCGGAGAUGGGCACUGAGACAAGGGCCCAGGCCCUACGGGGCGCAGCAGUCGCGAAAACUUUGCAAUAAGCGAAAGCUUGACAGGGCUAUCCCGAGUGCCAUCCGCUGAGGAAGGCUUUUACCCAGUCUAGAACGCUGGGGGAAUAAGGAGAGGGCAAGUCUGGUGUCAGCCGCCGCGGUAAUACCAGCUCUUCGAGUGGUGUGGAUGUUUAUUGGGCCUAAAGCAUCCGUAGCUGGCUAAGUUAGUCCCUUGUUAAAUCCACCGAAUUAAUCGUUGGAUUGCGGGGGAUACUGCUUGGCUAGGGGACGAGAGAGGCAGACGGUAUUUUCGGGGUAGGGGUGAAAUCCUAUAAUCCCGGGAAGACCACCAGUGGCGAAGGCUGUCUGCUAGAACGCGCCCGACGGUGAGGGAUGAAAGCUGGGGGAGCGAACCGGAUUAGAUACCCGGGUAGUCCCAGCUGUAAACGAUGCAGGCUAGGUGUUUGGACGGCCACGUGCCGUUCUAGUGCCGCAGGGAAGCUGUUAAGCCUGCCGCCUGGGGAGUACGAUCGCAAGAUUGAAACUUAAAGGAAUUGGCGGGGGAGCAC